rnacentral:misc_RNA from 1 species
AAGUCGUAACAAGGUUUCCGUAGGUGAACCUGCGGAAGGAUCAUUAAUACGUACUUUCACGUAUCACUCAAUCGUGGACUUGUCCCGCUUUUUGUGGAGAGUUGGAGGCGAAAUUUGUGGUCAUAUUUUAACCAGCGUGGGGGAGAAUAGUAGCUUCACGGCUCUUUUCUCUUUGACCUGUUCGCCGAGGGUUAAUAAAUCGAAACGACUUUUUGAUUGGAAAGACAAGUGCAGCUUGUUCUGUAUGCAUCUUCUGGUCAAUUUCGGUUGUUCUCGAUUCGACUCUUUACAAAGCGUUUUUUCUAAUCCAUGCUGGGAUCAAUUAUUUUACCCCAAGUACUAUUAUCAAGAACUAAUUGUGUUUUUUUUGCUUCAUUGCGAAAAACGCCAAAUACCGAAACUUAAGAACAACUCUUAACAACGGAUAUCUUGGUUCUC